GCGGGCGAAGCCCAACAGAUUUCAAGUCUGUCUCCUUAACCACUCGGACAUAUCGACUAAUUAGUUAAUUGAUGGCGAAAGAAAUUAAUUAAACUAAACAUCACAAUCUAAUUAAAUUGGAAAAAAGAAUUAGAGAUAAUUACGUUUACGCGCGAAGAACAGCAUAGUCGCAUCGGCCGGCCGAUCACGACGGAGGGGCAUCAUUUUCAAAAUAGCAUAGAAUUACAACAAAGCUUACUCGCGAAAUGAAGAAUGGGUUUGCCAAUCGGAAUUCUUUGAUGCUCUAAUCUCUGAUCAGGCAUUAUUAACAUCCAUAAUUGCAGUCCCAUCAAGAUUUCUCAGUGUUCAAAACUUCUGAUUAGUUCACUCAUUUGACUGUUUAAGCUUCUUGUCAUCUGCCGCAUUUGCCUCAUUCUGAUUAGUUCACUUUGCUUCUAGACCUAUUAUUCCAUAUUGUUCCAACAACCAAUACCUCUGACAGGGAAGAAUCUUCUUCCAGAGCUAAUUAUUACCAAAGUGAAGAAGAUGUCAAGCCUAAAUUAAACUCACAUGAAGGGAUUCGUUGUGACGUUGGAGAUGAAAAUGGGCCCAAAAUAUGAUUCAUUUCCUUUACCUAAAAAUGCACCAACAAAUUGCAGAUUAUGGCAAAUUUUCUACAGGCAGUCACCAUAUAAAAGAUGCACAUAGAGUAGCGACUUGUAGUAAUAUAUGAUCAUAAUGCAGUUGCAGAAAAUGACGAGCAAUCUCAAGUGUGCCUUCUAGUUCAGGGACCGAAAGCACGUAAAAUAUGGCCUCGAGAAAAUGGUGUGCUUAAAAAUGGGGGAUUGUUUAACUACCCGAAUCAUUGUUUGGAUCUUACAUGCAAUCUUUCUGGUUGUGACAGUGUUCAUUCUGGUUGUUUGUUAUCAAACUGCAAUACUCCAUACUCAUUCUUGGAAGCUUCUGUAUCUACCUCCCAAGUUUCAUUCACUUAGCUUCAUUUUAUUUUUCUUGGAAGUUAAUAUUAAAAGCUAAAACAGUUAUGCUCAGCAGUGAUGAGAUCUUCGUUAUACUGUCAUUUUGUAGUCUA